rnacentral:tRNA from 1 species
GGGUCGUUGGUCGAGUGGCAAGAUUCCUGGUAGCAACCCAGGAGAUCCCCGGUUCGAUUCCGGGACGACCCU